ACAAAGAAGCUAUAGACAGCCUUAAAGAAAGCAUUCAUUGGCUGAACAGUCAACAGCUGAGGAAGUGGUUUGACAAACAGUGGCUAUCAGUUUCACAUGUGAACAGUGUUGUUGCACAUUUGGAAGAGAUUAUGAACUGCACUAUACAAGACUAUGAAGAAGUUGAUCAUGCACGGCAUCAUCAGUUCAUAAAAAAUCCUUAUUUGAUGUACAAGGAGUUCACAAAAAAGUUCUGUUUUGGGAAGAAAUUUAUAAGCACAAGGGUUAUGGAGCAUCUACAAACAGUGCUCACAAAAAAAAUGGGUGACAGC